CUGUGAAAUUGCAACGUGUGGAUAGUAGAGAUUAUUGACAGGAAAGCAUGGGGAGCAGAGAGAGGGGAAGGAUCGUCAUAGGACCGCGAGGCUGGAAUCGAACUUGGGUCACCGUCAUCCAGGGUGUCUUGGAGGGGAGAGGUGUCCUACCUACAGCAUCUAAACACUGGGGUACCUCAGGGCUCUGUUCUUGGGCCACUUCUCUUCUCCAUCUACACGACAUCUUUAGGACCAGUCAUCCAGAAACAUGGAUUUUCCUACCACUACUAUGCUGAUGACACCCAGCUAUACCUCUCUUUUCACCCUGAUGAUCCCUCGGUUCCAGCUCGCAUUUCAGCCUGCCUGUCAGACAUUUCACACUGGAUGAAAGAUCAUCAUCUUCAGCUUAACCUCAUGAAAACGGAAAUGCUUGAAGUUUCUGCCAACCCGACUCUACACCAUAACUUCUCAAUCCAGAUGGAUGGGGCAACCAUUACUGCAUCCAAAAUGGUAAAAAGCCUUGGAGUAACGAUUGAUGACCAACUAAACUUCUCUGAGUACAUUUCUAGAACUGCUCGAUCUUGCAGAUUCGCACUCUAUAACAUCAGAAAGGUCCGACCCUUCCUAUCUGAACAUACAGCUCAACUCAUUGUUCAAGCUCUUGUUCUCUCCAAACUGGACUAUUGCAACUCUCUACUAGCUGGGCUUCCAGCUAACUCUAUCAAACCUC